UAAAACCUAAAUUUUUAUAGGCCUGGCAUUUCAGUGGGAUUUCUGUUUUUAUUGGAUUUUUUGUUGCCCUUGGCUCGUGUCACUCCUUCAGAAAAAGGAGAAAAGGUGGACUUGGAAUCUCUCAGGGGAAACUACAUGUAGUAAUUGAAUUAAAAUGGCUAGAACCAGAGGAUGGGGUUGUGCGUCCCCGGGAGUUCAGAGGGUGCCGGCGCUUCAACUGAUGGUGUGGACCCAUGAGACAGAGGCUCCACCAGGUGGUAACACAAGCAGCGGGUGGAAGAGACCUUGGGAGACUUCCGUAACUCAGAAGCAAGAAGCUGGAGCCUUGUGACUGACUGGUGGUUUUGACUGCAGGCACCAACAUUCAGGGUAACAGGGACGUGAGGGGUCUCCAGCAGCAUGCCUGAAGAUACUUGUGUGUGGACGAGGGACACACACUCAAGAACCACAAGUCCCUGAACACCUUUCCCCCCAUGAACUGGCUGCUGUUUACUGGGACACCCUUGCAGAACAGCCUGGCGGAGCUCUGGGCCCUUCUGAACUUCCUAAUGCUGGAUAUUUUUGAGUCCUUGUCCAAUGUGAGUGAGAUGCAGGAGGGAAGUGAGGAGAGGACUCUGAGGCAGGAAUGGGAGGGCCAGGCCAUCUCCACUCUAAUGAAGAUAAGAGAGAGGGAAUGUGGGUGUGUUUGGGAGUGUUUUGGUGGCUUUGGGUAGGUUUGGGUGUGUUUGGGGAGUUUUUUAUGAUUAUUUAAAGAGGUUUUUUUGGGCUGGAGAGGAGUUUUUUUUGGGCUGGAGAGGAGUUUUUUGGGCUGGAGAGAAUUUUUUUGGGUCUGGAGAGGAGCUUUUUGGGCUGGAGAGAAAUGUUUUGGGCUGGAGAGAAGGUUAUGUUUUGGGCUGGAGAGAAGGUUUUGUGGGCUGGAGGGAAGGUUUUUUUGGGCUGGAGGGAAGUUUUUUGGGCUGGAGGGAAUUUUUUGGGCUGGAGAGGAUCGUUUCAGGUCAGGUGGUUAAACACUACCGUCUAUCUAGU